AGUGAACGCUGGCGGUAGGCCUAACACAUGCAAGUCGAACGGCAGCACAGUAAGAGCUUGCUCUUACGGGUGGCGAGUGGCGGACGGGUGGGGAAUACAUCGGAAUCUACUUUUUCGUGGGGGAUAACGUAGGGAAACUUACGCUAAUACCGCAUACGACCUACGGGUGAAAGCAGGGGAUCUUCGGACCUUGCGCGAUUGAAUGAGCCGAUGUCGGAUUAGCUAGUUGGCGGGGUAAAGGCCCACCAAGGCGACGAUCCGUAGCUGGUCUGAGAGGAUGACCAGCCACACUGUAACGGAGAAACGGUCCAGACUCCUACGGGGGGCAGCAGUGGGGAAUAUUGGAAAAUGGGCACGAGCAUGAUCCAGCCAUACCGCGUGGGGGAAGAAGGCCUUCGGGUUGUAAAGCCCUUUUGUUGGGAAAGAAAAGCAGCAGGUUAAUACCCCGCUGUUCUGACGGUACCCAAAGAAUAAGCACCGGCUAACUUCGUG
rnacentral:rRNA from 1 species